CCUACGGGAGGCAGCAGUGGGGAAUAUUGCACAAUGGGGGAAACCCUGAUGCAGCGACGCCGCGUGUGUGAAGAAGUAAUUCGGUAUGUAAAGCUCUAUCAGCAGGGAAGAAAAUGACGGUACCUGAGUAAGAAGCCCCGGCUAACUACGUGCCAGCAGCCGCGGUAAUACGUAGGGGGCAAGCGUUAGCCGGAUUUACUGGGUGUAAAGGGAGCGUAGACGGCAGUGCAAGUCUGGAGUGAAAGGCGGGGGCUCAACCCCCGGACUGCUCUGGAAACUGUACGGCUGGAGUGCAGGAGAGGGAAGUGGAAUUCCUAGUGUAGCGGUGAAAUGCGUAGAUAUCAGGAGGAACACCAGUGGCGAAGGCGGCUUACUGGACUGUAACUGACGUUGAGGCUCGAAAGCGUGGGGAGCAAACAGGAUUAGAUACCCCAGUAGUC
rnacentral:rRNA from 1 species